CCUACGGGUGGCAGCAGUGGGGAAUAUUGGACAAUGGGCGAAAGCCUGAUCCAGCCAUGCCGCGUGUGUGAAGAAGGCCUUCGGGUUGUAAAGCACUUUCAGUGGGGAAGAAAGCCUUGGGGCUAAUACCCUCGAGGAAGGACAUCACCCACAGAAGAAGCACCGGCUAACUCCGUGCCAGCAGCCGCGGUAAUACGGAGGGUGCGAGCGUUAAUCGGAAUUACUGGGCGUAAAGCGCGCGUAGGCGGUCUGAUAAGCCGGUUGUGAAAGCCCCGGGCUCAACCUGGGAACGGCAUCCGGAACUGUCAGGCUAGAGUGCAGGAGAGGAAGGUAGAAUUCCCGGUGUAGCGGUGAAAUGCGUAGAGAUCAGGAGGAAUACCAGUGGCGAAGGCGGCCUUCUGGACUGACACUGACGCUGAGGUGCGAAAGCGUGGGUAGCAAACAGGAUUAGAUACCCUAGUAGUC
rnacentral:rRNA from 1 species